UAACCGCUUCGGAGCCGCGGGGCAGAGAGGGAGCAGGGGCGCCCGGCUGGUCUCUGGCUCUGAAGCAGGAAGGGGAAACCCGGCUGCAGGAUCAGGCCAGCGAUGCCCCCAGUUGUUCCAAGCAGGUACCGGUACUCCAAGCAGGAUCUGAGUACAAGAGCAGCUUUGUCCUCACCUUUAGUAUUAUAUUAUUGUAUUAUAUGCCCCUGUAAUCUCACUGUAUACAAGUUGUACAAGUGACAAUAAUGUAUUUCAAAUUGUAAUAUUUAUUUAUAUCCCGCCUUUCUCCCAGACCGAGAGCCAAGGCGGCUUACAAAGGGGUUGCCAUAGUUAUAAGUUCUGAAAGGCAGGCGGCAUUAAGAGGGAAGGAACUGCAAAUGUUUCAAAGAUCCUGGUUGAAAUCAGAAUUAGAAAAAAAAUAAAGAAGCACUUAUUUUGUGAAAUCAGCUGAGAAGAGAGGUCCAGUGGCUGUAAAAAGAUUUGUGCUUUAAAUAUUUUCAAAUGACAUAAUACCUGACAGAAUCUCGAGUUUGGAUUGGCUAUUUCGGAUCAAACCGAGUCCUUCCCAAGUGUGCAUCGCCUCUCUGCAUGUUUGACCUCUCAAGAGGCAUGAGGAACAUGUGACUCUCUCAUCAGCUGCAGCCAGUAUAGUCAAGACAUAGAUAAUUUUUUAUUGAUUUUACUCGAUAGACAGAUGUUUAUAUUUGAAAUCACAAGAUAACAAAGGAAUACACAUAUUUGAAUCAUCCAAAUUAAUCAGAUAAGGAAGAAGAAGGGGAUACACUGAUAUCGGAGUCCAUUCUAACUGUUGUUAUUUUUCACAGAGUUCAUGCAAAGCGGCUAGUAGUUCCAAAAGUAUUGCAGCCGCUUUCAGUUACAUAUUGCUCCAUGUACUUGGACACGGACCUUGCAACAGUCAUCUAAGGCCCAAAGCGGGGCCCCGAACUCGAAGCAUGGGAAGCCCCAACAACAAAUUUAUAAUUUGGCAGAAUAUUUAGAUUAUUUCAUGUGUAUAUGUAUAAUUUGGAAUAUUUAAUGUGAUUUGAUUGGAUUGUUAAAAUGGAAAAUUUAAUAAAGAAUUAUUUAAAAAAUCAAAUCAAGUGGUGCUUGUGGAAUCCUCUCCCCAGGGACGCUUGCCUGGGACCACCUUGACCUAUUUUAGGCGCCCAUUUUACCUAGGGUUAUGACCCUCAAUCUGAAGGGCUUUUAAGUACUUGUGGCCUCUUCUAGCGAGGCAGGUUCCUUGUAUUCGUACAGAUGUCUUUCGUACGUUCAGCAUCGGUUUGAUUGUUGUAACUGGUAUUGAUUUUUAUGCAGUGUUCUAAGUCGCCUUGGAUCGCUUUUGUGAGCGAAGUGACUAAUUAAUAUGAAUGAUGCUGAUGCUGAUAAUCCCUUGCUGGGGUUGCUGACGGAAGAUUACGGGAGCAACAACCGGAGGGCCGUUGUUUCCCCAUCCCUGAAUUAGGAGAAGAGGGGAAAGGCCUCUGGACCAGGGAUGACAAACCUGUGGCUGUCCAGAUAUUCUUGGACUGCAGCUUCCAG